rnacentral:rRNA from 1 species
CCUACGGGAGGCAGCAGUGGGGAAUAUUGCACAAUGGGGGAAACCCUGAUGCAGCGACGCCGCGUGGGGGAUGAAGGUUUUCGGAUUGUAAACUCCUUUCGUGAGAGAAGAUAAUGACGGUAUCUCACGAAUAAGCACCGGCUAACUCCGUGCCAGCAGCCGCGGUAAUACGUAGGGUGCAAGCGUUACCCGGAAUUACUGGGGGUAAAGAGUGCGCAGGCGGGCUUGUAAGUCAGAUGUGAAAUCCUGUGGCUUAACUACAGAACUGCAUUGGAAACUAUGCGGCUAGAGUGUGGGAGAGGUAGGUGGAAUUCUUGGUGUAGGGGUAAAAUGCGUAGAUAUCAAGAGGAAUACUCAUGGCGAAGGCGACUUACUGGAACAUUACUGACGCUGAUGCACGAAAGCGUGGGGAGCAAACAGGAUUAGAUACCCCUGUAGUC